CCUACGGGUGGCAGCAGUGGGGAAUAUUGGGCAAUGGGCGCAAGCCUGACCCAGCAACGCCGCGUGAAGGAAGAAGGCUUUCGGGUUGUAAACUUCUUUUGUCAGGGACGAAGCAAGUGACGGUACCUGACGAAUAAGCCACGGCUAACUACGUGCCAGCAGCCGCGGUAAUACGGAGGUGGCAAGCGUUAUCCGGAUUUAUUGGGUGUAAAGGGCGUGUAGGCGGGAAUGCAAGUCAGAUGUGAAAACUAUGGGCUCAACCCAUAGCCUGCAUUUGAAACUGUAUUUCUUGAGUGCUGGAGAGGCAAGCGGAAUUCCGUGUGUAGCGGUGAAAUGCGUAGAUAUACGGAAGAACACCAGUGGCGAAGGCAGAUUGCUAAACAGUAACUGACGCUGAGGCGCGAAAGCGUGGGGAGCAAACAGGAUUAGAUACCCCUGUAGUC
rnacentral:rRNA from 1 species